AAACUUUCAACAACGGAUCUCUUGGUUCCGGCAUCGAUGAAGAACGCAGCGAAAUGCGAUAAGUAAUGUGAAUUGCAGAAUUCCGUGAAUCAUCGAAUCUUUGAACGCACAUUGCGCCCCCUGGUAUUCCGGGGGGCAUGCCUGUUCGAGCGUCAUUG
rnacentral:rRNA from 9 species